rnacentral:lncRNA from 1 species
GGAGUAAUUAGUAUUUUGUAUUUUGAAUUCUAUCAUGAACUAAACACCCCCUCACUGUCGCUUCUCGCUUCAAUCGUUGCACAACGUGAAGACGCGCGCUGGCCUAUCACACUUGACGAUAGAUUAGAGCAUUCCCAGAAAGAAUACUUGAAACUUGAUGCUCCAGCGACCUGGCUCGUUGGAUUUUGUCUGUCUCUACAUCAACCUCCCGCCAACGAUGCGGCCCAAGUUUGAAAAGUUAUUGGGCUGGAAUGUACGGUAUCAGCCUUGUCUGGGUGAGGUAAGGAGUUACAGGAACCGUCAAGCUGUGUUUUGCCAUUGGGCCAAUGCAGUAGCUUGUAACAGAAUAUGGGUUGUAUUUGGGCCUACUUAGGCCAGCGUAAUCCCGCUUCCAAAACAUGUUAAGGGACGAAUUGGAUCAGACUAUGGCUCACUAACGGUGGAUACGACGUUCAAAAAGAGAGGAAAAAAAAAGCCCAAGUUAACCCC